rnacentral:lncRNA from 1 species
UUCUUUCUUGCAUCUUACAAAAAUAGGAUUGAGGGUGAAGAACUGAGUGUGAGGAAAAAAAAGAUUAGUAAGCUGUAUCACCAGCUAAACAAAGAUGAGAGAAUACUGUCAGAGGGCAAAGGAAACUAGAGCUAAGAGUGAGGAACCAGAACCGAAAAUUUUAGCAGCCUGCAACAUCGAAUUCUUAGGAGAAAAGGGUAAGAACCUGCACCUAUUUUCUGUUUAUUCAGUGUAACUAGAAAAUCACAUGAGCUGCACGAAAACUUAGUAAAGAAAUGGACUCUUAGCAAAGGUGAAAUUCUGUUUUGAAGGAAAUGAAACUGUCGGAUAGCAAUGGAGGAAAUUGAGAGCUGUAGUUUGAAUUGCAGCCUAUAAAUGAUGAAAAUUUAUGUAAUAACCUCUUAAUCAUCUAGUACACUUGAAUACGCAUGCUGUGUGCUGGAUUCUAGCCAAGAAAAAUUAAGUUUUGUUGCAGGAAAAUCUUGUUUAGAAACUGAUAACUCGUUGGAAGAAAAUUCUGUUCUCUAACCAAGAGACAGGUACUAAUUGUACAACUUGCUAUCAGAGAAAGAUGUAAAUUGUUAAGAGAAUAUAAGUAUUCUUGUAUAUAAUAAAUUAAUAAGAGUAUACUUGUAAAUAGUUUAUUAGGUUUGUCUCCUAUAAAUACUAGUUGGUCACUCAUAAUACGGUGACUAGAUGUUUUCCUCCCAAAAUACCUGUUUUCAUGAUAUUAGAGCAAAAAUCCUAGGGUUAGGGUUAAACAUCUAACAAAAGUCCUGUUUACGCGAUACUGUUCAUCGCGUUCAGGCGGCACUGUUCACGAGGCACUGUUCAUCUCGAGUUUUGAUCAUUUCUUUGGUUUGAAGUGUUAUUCACUAUGGCUGAAAUUUUAUCAAAAGGCAUUAUGAUGUCCACUAAUAUUAUGCCAAUGGUGAUGCCUCCAAUCACAAAUUGAAAAUUGAAUGAUACUAAUUAUCAACAGUGGUCAAAAGCCGCUAAGAUUUAUCUGACAGGUUUAGGAAAGCAGUAAUAUCUCAUAGAUGACUCUCCUAUGGAGGACCACAAGAGACUAAUGUGGAUUCAAGAGGAUACCCAAAUUCUUGGAGCAAUAUGAAAUUCUAUAGAGCCACGAAUUGCUUACAUGUGUUCUCAUUGUGAGACAACAAAAGAAGUUUGGGAUUAUGUCCGGUUAUUAUACUGCAGUAAUCUUUCACGGAUAUAUAAUAUUUCUUUGGAGUAUUUUCAGUUGCAACAAGAUAACAAGACAAUAACUGAAUACUUUGAUGAUCUUAAGCGAGUUUCACAAGAAUUAAAUGCUGUAAUGCCUCUCUCAAGUGAUAUUACGGUUAUACAGUGGCAAAGAGAACAAAUACUUGCGCUCAAAUUCUUGGUUAGUCUCAAACCAGAAUUUGAACCAAUCAAAUCUCAAAUUUUAGCAGGUGAACAAUUACCAUCCUUUGUAGAGGCGUAUGCUCGGGUCUUAUGUUCUGCAUCUAAGGACAAUGAACAAGGUGAUUGUGCUCUAAUUAAUGACAAAUCUACUUUAGUUGCUAACAACAAUCGGAUAGAGCAACUUAAUUUGGGACGUGGCUCUCAUGGAGGAAGAAGUAAAGGAGGUCGUGGAAGUCAAGGCAUCCGUGAGUGAACUCAUUGUGGUUUGAAGAAUCACACUCGUGAUACUUGUUGGGAUUUAAAUGGAAAACCACUUCGGUUUGCUAAUGCGGUUACCACUGACCAAACUGAAUCAAGUUAUUCAGUACAUGGGUUUCAGAAAACUUUUACCAUACCUGAGGAAGAUUAUGUCAAAUUUUUACAGUACCAAACUGUAAAUCACGCAUAUUUUCCCUCUGUUUCUUUAGCACAAAAAGGUAAUGCUAUGGCUUGUCUCUUCACAUCCUCUAAUUUUGACUCAUAGAUCAUUGAUUUAGGGGCUACUAAUCAUAUGUUAGGUAUUUUUAGAAAUUUUUCUAAUUUUCAAGAGUAUACUUCCUUCCCUCAUGUUACUUUAACUGAUGGAUCUACAACUAAACUUAAAGGACUAGGCACUGUAGAAAUUAAUCCAUCUCUUUCGCUGUCUUCUGUUCUUUACGUAUCCAAUUUGCCUUUUAAUCUAAUGUCGGUUAGUAAGUUUACUAAAUUUCUACAGUGUUCAGUUACUUUUUCUCUUGAUUUUGUUGUCAUUUAGGAUUUGAAAACGAAGAGGAUGAUUGGUGGAGGGUAUGAGCACAAUGGUCUUUAUUUUUUCAACUCUAAUGGUCCGAUUGCGUACCCUGCCACUGUUUCUCCUCUUAAAACUCACUGUCAUUUGGGUCAUCCGUCUCUACAAAAUUUGAAGAAUUUGGUUCCUACCUUGAGUCAGUUGUAUUCAUUAGAAUGUGAAUCUUAUCAAUUAGAUAAACAUCAUCGUGUUUCUUUUGUCCCUAGAGUCAAUAAACGGGUUUCAGAACCCUUUUUGUUAGUUUAUUCUGAUGUUUGGAGUCCUAAUCGAAUCACUUCAAAGUUAAGUUUUAAAUAUUUUGUAAUUUUUGUUGAUAAUUUUUCCGGAGUUACAUGGUUUUAUUUAAUAAAAGAUCGUUCAGAACUAUAUUCCAUUUUUUGUGCAUUUGUUACAGAAAUAAAGAAUCAAUUUGGUGUACCUGUACAUAUACUUCGCAGUGAUAAUGCGAAAGAAUAUUUUUUCACUCCUUUUGAUACCUUUAUGACUAAAUCCGGUAUUCUUCAUCAGUUCUCUUGUCCUCACACUUCACAACAGAAUAGAGUUGCUGAAAGAAAAAUUGAACAUUUAAUCGAAGUUGUUUGAACACUUUUGUUGCACAUGAAUGUGCCUAAACACUUUUAGAGUGAUGCAGUUCUAACCGCAUGUUAUUUAAUUAAUCGCAUGCCAUCUAGUAUUUUUGGAGCCUAAUUACCUCACUCUAUUCUUUUUCCUCAUAAACCUGUAUUUAAAUUACCUCAUCGUAUUUUUAGACGUGUGUUCUUUGUUUAUCAGCUUGCUCCCGAGGUGGAUAAAUUAGAUUCUCGUGCUCUUAAGUGUAUUUUUUUAGGAAACGCAUGAGCGCAAAAAGGGUAUAGAUGUUACAAUUCAGUUUUAAAUCAAUUUUUUACUUGUGUUGAUGUUAUUUUCUUUGAAUCCACUCCAUAUUUUAUGAAACACGGUAUAUCUUGUGAGUUAGACCAGUGUCCCUCUUUUUACUCUCCUGUUUUACUAGUCCCUUCUUUUUAUUACCUGAGUUUUCUAGUCCACCAGAUUCCAUAACUCGAUUAUUUCGUCCUAAUUUUCAAGUUUAUUCUCGUCGUUCUAUAGUUGAGAAAGUUCCUGAUAUGUCACGCACUUCACCAAUUAACUCUCAAUUUUCAAAUUCAGGUAUGACGUCCUCCUCUGAUUUAGAUCUUCCCAUUGCUUUAUGCAAAGGUAAGAGGUAUUG